UACGUAGGGUGCAAGCGUUGUCCGGAAUUAUUGGGCGUAAAGAGCUCGUAGGCGGUCUGUCGCGUCGGCUGUGAAAUCCCGAGGCUCAACCUCGGUCUGCAGUCGAUACGGGCAAACUAGAGUAUUGCAGGGGAGACUGGAAUUCCUGGUGUAGCGGUGAAAUGCGCAGAUAUCAGGAGGAACACCCAAUGGCGAAGGCAG
rnacentral:rRNA from 1 species